rnacentral:rRNA from 1 species
AGUGAACGCUGGCGGUAGGCCUAACACAUGCAAGUCGAACGGCAGCACAGGAGAGCUUGCUCUCUGGGUGGCGAGUGGCGGACGGGUGAGGAAUACAUCGGAAUCUACUCUGUCGUGGGAGAUAACGUAGGGAAACUUACGCUAAUACCGCAUACGACCUACGGGUGAAAGCAGGGGACCUUCGGGCCUUGCGCGAUUGAAUGAGCCGAUGUCGGAUUAGCUAGUUGGCGGGGUAAAGGCCCACCAAGGCGACGAUCCGUAGCUGGUCUGAGAGGAUGAUCAGCCACACUGGAACUGAGACACGGUCCAGACUCCUACGGGAGGCAGCAGUGGGGAAUAUUGGACAAUGGGCGCAAGCCUGAUCCAGCCAUACCGCGUGGGUGAAGAAGGCCUUCGGGUUGUAAAGCCCUUUUGUUGGGAAAGAAAUCCAGCUGGCUAAUACCCGGUUGGGAUGACGGUACCCAAAGAAUAAGCACCGGCUAACUUCGUGCCAGCCGCCGCGAAAC